AACGGGGGGGAGCAAGCGUAUUCGUCAUGAUUGGGCGUAAAGGACUCGAGACGGCCAAUUAAGUUAUUUAGGAAAUUUCUGUCGCUAGCUUGACCUUAAAUAAUACUGGUUUGGCUUAUUGGAGCAUGAGGAAGAUAACAGUACUCUAAGACCAGGGGUUAAAAGUCCUCAGAAAAUUAGAGGACUCACAUAGGCAAAGGCGGUUAUCUACAAAUGUCUUGACGUGAGGAGUGAAAGCGUGGGUAGUCAAACGG
rnacentral:rRNA from 1 species